UGUGGCAUAUGGAUGUGCUUAGAUGUAUGAAAAUGUGGCAUAUGGACAUCCUUAGAUGUAUAAAAAUGUGUGUGGUACAGCCGCAAUGCCCAUUUGUACUUAGGGUUUGACUGGUGCAGGGAUCUAGCCGAUACCGAAACGUGCGGAGAGACCUGCGGAAAUAGGCUUCUUCCCACUUUCCGCAGAGGGCCUAAAAUGAAGGAAAUGCGGAAAAAGAAAUCGCUUGCAGUACUGCGGAAAGUCAAAAACAUAUUCCACGCCUGUGCGUUUACUUCACAAGUGACAAUACUUUAGUGUAAAAGUCUACAAUCACUGCGCCCGACCUCGGGGCUAACGACAUUCUAGAGUUCGACUGUGUUCCAGCUCAAAGAAGGUGGAAGGCCUGCUACCGACGUUUGGAAACAUGUUGAUAGAAAACAUUAUGACAAGAGCAAGAACUGCUCUGCUACCUGCAAACAACAUCGGAAGGACCCGAUCCGAGCGUACCAAUCCAAUCCGUCAAAAUCAAGCACUAUGGGGGAGGCCUAUGAUAAGUAUGCUCUGGCCUGGGGGAUUGGGGGUCAAAGAGAGGCGGAAUGCUUGCAGAUCCCACGAGACUGAACCGCAUUGCCAAGAGCGCGAUUGAGAUUG
rnacentral:lncRNA from 1 species